AUUGAACGCUGGCGGCAGGCCUAACACAUGCAAGUCGAGCGGAGCGGCGGACGGGUGAGUAAUGCCUAGGCAUCUGCCUGGUAGUGGGGGAUAACGUCCGGAAACGGGCGCUAAUACCGCAUACUAUCAGAUGAGCCUAGGUCGGCUUAGCUAUUUGGUGGGGGAAAGGCCUACAAAGGCGACGAUACGUAACUGGUCUGAGAGGAUGAUCAGUCACACUGGACAUGAGACACGAACAAGAUUCCUACGGGAGGCAGCAGUGGGGAAUAUUGGACAAUGGGCGAAAGCCUGAUCCAGCCAUGCCGCGUGUGUGAAGAAGGUCUUCGGAUUGUAAAGAACUUUAAGUUGGGAGGCGUUACCAACAGAAUAAGCACCGGCUAACUUCGUGCCAGCAGCCGCGGUAAUUC
rnacentral:rRNA from 1 species